rnacentral:rRNA from 1 species
CCUACGGGAGGCAGCAGUGAGGAAUAUUGGUCAAUGGGCGUAAGCCUGAACCAGCCAAGUCGCGUGAGGGAUGAAGGUUCUAUGGAUCGUAAACCUCUUUUAUAAGGGAAUAAAGUGCGGGACGUGUCCCGUUUUGUAUGUACCUUAUGAAUAAGGAUCGGCUAACUCCGUGCCAGCAGCCGCGGUAAUACGGAGGAUCCGAGCGUUAUCCGGAUUUAUUGGGUUUAAAGGGUGCGUAGGCGGCAUUUUAAGUCAGCGGUGAAAUUCCGUGGCUCAACCAUAGAAUUGCCGUUGAAACUGGGAGGCUUGAGUGUGUUUGAGGCAGGCGGAAUUCGUGGUGUAGCGGUGAAAUGCGUAGAUAUCACGAAGAACCCCGAUUGCGAAGGCAGCCUGCCGGGCCAUGACUGACGCUGAUGCACGAAAGCGUGGGGAUCAAACAGGAUUAGAUACCCGAGUAGUC